rnacentral:rRNA from 1 species
AUAAUGGGUCAGCGACUUAUAUUCUGUAGCAAGGUUAACCGAAUAGGGGAGCCGAAGGGAAACCGAGUCUUAACUGGGCGUUAAGUUGCAGGGUAUAGACCCGAAACCCGGUGAUCUAGCCAUGGGCAGGUUGAAGGUUGGGUAACACUAACUGGAGGACCGAACCGACUAAUGUUGAAAAAUUAGCGGAUGACUUGUGGCUGGGGGUGAAAGGCCAAUCAAACCGGGAGAUAGCUGGUUCUCCCCGAAAGCUAUUUAGGUAGCGCCUCGUGAAUUCAUCUCCGGGGGUAGAGCACUGUUUCGGCAAGGGGGUCAUCCCGACUUACCAACCCGAUGCAAACUGCGAAUACCGGAGAAUGUUAUCACGGGAGACACACGGCG